rnacentral:rRNA from 1 species
AGCACCACAACGGGUGGAGCUUGCGGUUUAAUUGGAUUCAACGCCGGAAAUCUUACCGGGACCGACAGCUAUAUGAAGGCCAGGCUGAAGACUUUGCCGGGUUAGCUGAGAGGUGGUGCAUGGCCGUCGUCAGUUCGUACUGUGAAGCAUCCUGUUAAGUCAGGCAACGAGCGAGACCCACGUCCACAGUUGCCAGCAUACCCUCCGGGGUGAUGGGUACACUGUGGAGACCGCCGCUGCUAAAGCGGAGGAAGGAAUGGGCAACGGUAGGUCAGUAUGCCCCGAAUCUCCCGGGCUACACGCGGGCUACAAUGGUUGGUACAAUGGGCAUCUACCCCGAAAGGGGAAGGAAAUCUCUUAAAGCCAAUCGUAGUUCGGAUUGAGGGCUGCAACUCGCCCUCAUGAAGCUGGAAUCCGUAGUAAUCGCGUUUCAACAGAACGCGGUGAAUACGUCCCUGCUCCUU